rnacentral:rRNA from 1 species
UGACCUGCGGAAGGAUCAUUACUAGAGCAAAGGAUAGACAGCGCCCGCGGAGCUCGCUCCCGGGGCCACCCUACUCCGGUAGGGUUUAGAGUCGUCGGGCCUCUCGGAGAAGCUCGGUCCUGAACUCCACCCUUGAAUAAACUACCUUUGUUGCUUUGGCGGGCCGCCUCGUGCCAGCGGCUUCGGCUGUUGAGUGCCCGCCAGAGGACCACAACUCUUGUUUUUUAGUGAUGUCUGAGUACUAUAUAAUAGUUAAAACUUUCAACAACGGAUCUCUUGGUUCUGGCAUCGAUGAAGAACGCAGCGAAAUGCGAUAAGUAAUGUGAAUUGCAGAAUUCAGUGAAUCAUCGAAUCUUUGAACGCACAUUGCGCCCUCUGGUAUUCCGGGGGGCAUGCCUGUUCGAGCGUCAUUAUAACCACUCAAGCUCUCGCUUGGUAUUGGGGUUCGCGGUUUCGCGGCCCCUAAAAUCAGUGGCGGUGCCUGUCGGCUCUACGCGUAGUAAUACUCCUCGCGAUUGAGUCCGGCAGGUCUACUUGCCAGCAACCCCUAAUUUUUUUUAAGGUUGACCUCGGAUCAGGUAGGGAUACCCGCUGAACUUAAGCAUAUCAAUAAGCGGAGGAAAAGAAACCAACAGGGAUUACCUCAGUAACGGCGAGUGAAGCGGUAACAGCUCAAAUUUGAAAGCUGGCUCUUUUAGGGUCCGCGUUGUAAUUUGUAGAAGAUGCUUCGGGUGUGGCCCCGGUCUAAGUUCCUUGGAACAGGACGUCAUAGAGGGUGAGAAUCCCGUAUGUGACUGGGUGCUUUCGCUCAUGUGAA